rnacentral:rRNA from 1 species
AUCUAAAAAGAUAUUAAAGCGUAUGGUGGAUGCCUAGGGUCUUUGUGCUGAUGAAGGACGUACUAAGCUGCGUUAAGCUUCGGGGAGCCGCUAAGAGGCGUUAUUACCCGGGGAUUUCCGAAUGGGGAAACCUGUUCUUGGACAACCUUGAACAUCCGCAAACGAAGGUUUGGCAGAAAUGCCGAAAGAUAGUUUGUGUGAAAGGCACUCUGCGAACUGAAACAUCUUAGUAGCAGAUGGAAAAAAGACAAUAUUUGUAUACCCGGAGUAGUGGCGAGCGAAACGGGCGGAGCCCAAACCCGAAUCUGACUUUAGUCAUCCCGGACUUGAUCCGGGAUCUACCGAUAGAUUCCCGCUUUCGCGGGAAUGACAAUCUAAGAUCUUGCGACAAGUACGGAAUGAUAUGUUAGAAAAGGGGGUUAUAGGACAACCUGUACUCAUACCUGACUGCCGACAGGCAGGCUUGAUAUGAGAAAUAGUUACAAAAUUUUCUCUAGAAGAACGGUCUGGAAAGUCCGGCCAAAGAGCGUUACAGCCGCGUAUUUGAAAGGGAAAAAUCUGUUUGGGUUGUUCCUGAGUAUCACGGGACACGUGAAAUCCUGUGAGAAUUUGGGAGGACCAUCUCCUAAGGCUAAAUACACAAAGACACCGAUAGUGAACUAGUACCGUGAGGGAAAGGUGAAAAGCACCCCUGUUAGGGGAGUGAAAUAGAAACUGAAACCGUAUGCUGACAAGCGGCCAGAGUCCCCCUUCGCUUUUUGCGUCGCAAAAAGCUUCGGCGAGGAUAUCCCAGAACACGAUUGUGUUUAUGGGCUUGUCCCGCGUAGCUUACUGCGGAGCAGGAAGCGGAGUGGGAUGAUGGCGUGCCUAUUGAAGAAUGAACCAGCGAGUUUUUCGUGCAGGCUAGCUUAACCCCGUUUUACGGGGGAGGCACAGCGAAAGCGAGUCUUAACGGGCGUUUAUCGUCUGUACGAAAAGACCCGAAGCCAGGUGAGCUUACCAUGAGCAGGUUGAAGCAUGGGUAAAACUAUGUGGAGGACCGAACCGGUGACUGCGGCAAAAGUCUCGGAUGACUUGUGGUAAGAGGUAAAACGUCAAUCGAACCUGGCGAUAGCUGGCUCUCCCCGAAAUAUAUUUUGGUAUAGCCUUCAGGUUAAGAUUUUGUGGGGUAGAGUUACUGAAAGGAUUGAAGGCGCGCAAGCGUACUUCAUCCUACCAAACUCCGAAUACGCAAAAUUCAUACUGAGGAGUCAGAACGUAGGAGCUAAGUUCUAUGUUCUAAAGGGAAACAGCCCAGACCAUCGGAUAAGGUCCCUAAAUCUAUGCUUAGUGGUAAAGGAAGUGAAAUUGUUUAGACAACUAGGAGGUUGGCUUAGAAGCAGCCACCCUUUAAAGAAAGCGUAACAGCUCACUAGUGAAACGGUUUUGCGCCGACAAUGUAACGGGGCUCAAGCAUAGUACCGAAGCUGUGGAUAUUUCGUCAGAGAUUCUUGCCUUCGUCGUCAUUGCGAACCCGCGUUUAGCGGGUGAAGCAAUCUCGACGGGAUCGCCACGGCCACUUUGUGGCCUCGCGAUGACGUAGGUAAGAACCUCUGGCGAAGUGUGGUAGGGGAGCAUUGAUGCGACUGUGAAGGUGAGCCGUGAGGCUUGCUGGAGUUUCAUCAAGUGAGAAUGCUGGUUUGAGUAGCGAAAGAAGGGUGAAAACCCCUUCCGCCGGAUAUCUAAGGUUUCCUCCACAACGUCAGUCGAUGGAGGUUUAGCCGGCCCUAAGGCGAGGCCGAAAGGCGUAGCCGAUGGAUAGCAGGUUAAUAUUCCUGCGCUGCCAUGUAUGCGUUACCAUCAAAGGGGUGACGAAGUUUGAGUAUUAAGGCCCAUUAGGGAUUUGGGUCCAGAAGGCAAGUCAGUCUCUAUAGGAAAAUCCGUAGAGGCGUUUAUAUGAGCCGAUGGGGAAGGAGAUCACAUCAACGAACCUUAUAGUCUUAAACUUCCCAGAAAAACCUCUAGAGAGCAUAAAUGGCAUCCGUACCGCAAUCCGACACAGGUAGAUUGGUAGAAAAUACCAAGGCGAACGGGAUAAUCGUGGCCGAGGAACUCGGCAAAUUACUACCGUAAGUUAGCAAAAAGGUAGGCCUAGGUGUACGAGCCUAGGUAGCAUAAAAAUGGCUCAAGCGGCUGUUUAACAAAAACACAGGUCUUUGCUCAACUCGUAAGAGGAUGUAUAAGGACCGACACUUGCCCAGUGUCCGUAAGUUAAAACCGGAGGUGACCCCACUUCGCCCGCAAGGGCUUCGCGGGGAGGCUUUUGGUAUAAGCUCGGAUGAACGGCAGCCCUAACUAUAAGGGUUCUAUGGUAGCGUAAUCCCUUGUCGUGUAAGUUACGACCCGCACGAAAAGUGUAACGACUUGAGCACUCUCUUAGUCACGAACCCGGCGAAAUAGAAGUAUCCGUGAAGAUGCGGAUUACCCGUUGUAGGACAAAAAGACCCCGUGGAGCUUUACUGUAGCUUGGCAUUGGGAAGGCGUUUUAAUUGUGUAGCAUAGGAGGGAGUCCGCCGCAAGGCGGGCAUCAGUGAAAUACCUCUCUGUUAACACUCUAACCCUAACUUGCCGCCGUUUAUCCGGCGGGAGGACAAUGUCUGGCAGGCAGUUUAACUGGGGCGGUUUCCCGCUAAAGUGUAACGCGGGAGCCCAAAGGUUCCCUUGGUCCCGAUGGAAAUGGGACUGUAAGUGUAAAGAUAUAUGGGAGCUUAACUGCGACACCUACAAGUGAAGCAGGUACGAAAGUAGGGCUUAGUGAUCCUCCGUUGCUUAAUGGAUGGCACGGAGCUUAUCGGAUAAAAGUUACCCCGGGGAUAACAGGCUGAUCUUACCCGAGCGUCCAUAGCGACGGUAAGGUUUGGCACCUCGAUGUCGGCUCAUCGCAUCCUGGAGGUGGAGAAGCUUCCUAGGGUCCGGCUGUCCGCCGGUUAAAGCGAUACGCGAGCUGGGUUCAGAGCGUUGUGAGACAGCUGAUCCGCAAUUAGAGACUGCGGGUGACAUUCGCCAGAAGGCGAAUUCGAACUGUCUAUAAAUUUAGCUAU